AGCGAACGCUGGCGGUAGGCCUAACACAUGCAAGUCGAACGGCAGCACAGUAAGAGCUUGCUCUUACGGGUGGCGAGUGGCGGACGGGUGAGGAAUACAUCGGAAUCUACUUUUUCGUGGGGGAUAACGUAGGGAAACUUACGCUAAUACCGCAUACGACCUACGGGUGAAAGUAGGGGAUCUUCGGACCUUGCGCGAUUGAAUGAGCCGAUGUCGGAUUAGCUAGUUGGCGGGGUAAAGGCCCACCAAGGCGACGAUCCGUAGCUGGUCUGAGAGGAUGAUCAGCCACACUGGAACUGAGACACGGUCCAGACUCCUACGGGAGGCAGCAGUGGGGAAUAUUGGACAAUGGGCGCAAGCCUGAUCCAGCCAAACCGCGUGGGUGAAGAAGGCCUUCGGGUUGUAAAGCCCUUUUGUUGGGAAAGAAAAGCAGCAGGUUAAUACCCCGCUGUUCUGACGGUACCCAAAGAAUAAGCACCGGCUAACUUCGUG
rnacentral:rRNA from 1 species